rnacentral:lncRNA from 1 species
GGAAACUGACAAUCUGCUUCAGAAAGGGACUUGCCUGAGGCUGCCAGAGCUGGACGGGCGCCCAGGAAUCUUGCCUUCCUGCCAGCUCUGCCUGCUCCAGCCCACUGAGCAGCCUCGAUUCAUCUCCCUUCACAGCAAGGACAGUGUCAUCAGGGAGAGAAGCUGUCAGCGGAGGGAUCUUCCUAAUUCAAUGAGAGAAGCAGACUUCAUGCAGCCAGAAGGAUUUGGAUUAGACAGUCAAGGACUUCCUGCCUGUUAAAUGAUCAGAAGAAGGUAAGGCUUUUCUUGCCGGCUCCCAUGUCCUCUGACAUGAGCCAGGCACUCUCUGAUCUGAAGACAGAGGUGCAUGAAGAAAAUCUGGGAGGUGCUUUCAUCUCAGGAAUCUGCUAACUGCCAGAACAGGAGGUAGGAAGGAGGGGAGGAAGAGUCUAUUAAAAUCCACUCUGUUACAGAGAGGUUCAAUAGAGAGGCUGGCGUCUGGGCUCAGAGUGACUCAUGCCCUUGCUGAUGUCCUGACAGCUAGAGGGUCUUGGCUGGCUUGGGUUUCCCUACUUGCAUUGGCUCAGAAGGCUCUUCGAGGUGGAGGUCUCCGGCCGGCUUCCAGGUAGAGUUGGUUAGCACCAAUAUUCCCUACUCUGGGUUGUGAGAGCGCUUUGGUGAAAAAAAAAAAAAAAGCAAUAUAGUAAAAAUCUUGGCUAUCUAAAAUACCUCUGGAAAUGAAGCAUUUUGGAUAGUGGAAUUUUCCAUAAAGCUGAGGAUUUUUCCAUUUAAGUCGAGACUUUUAUUUUGUGUGUUUUUUUAGAUAGAUUGAAUCAAUAUAACAUUUCUGGUUUACUUGGAGACAAGAAGUGAAUGAUAGUUGGUCCAUGCCAUUAAUACAGU